CUUGUGUCUUUCUUCAAUAUCACCAAUUAGACAGUUAUGUGACUGGGAGUAGUGAGCUUGUAAGGAACAUAGAAGCAAGAAUGAUUUUCCGAGUCCCAGCGGUAUCGUAUGUCUUUCUAAAGAGCGCUCAGCCAGUUGCAGACCUUGGCUUUGCUCAAAUCACAACAAAACCUGUCCGCAUCUCUGACAAGCUGCAGACUUCAAGUACAAUUCUUUGCGGUGAUUACGUAUGACAAUGAUAGAUGGACUGCAGGCUUCAGACAGUCCACGUAGACCGAUCCCAC